CCUUCCUUCGGGAAUUGCACGGAACCGUUAUGUGUUAGACAGUUGACAAUGAUGGGGGAGUGAACUACAGCUAUUUAAAAGGAAACUGCAGGUGUUGGUGCCUGUGGAAUGCAGGGUCCUGGUUCUUUGUUCCAUCCUGCACUCAGCGAGAGAGAUGAGACACGCAGAGGCCCAUCCAAGCAGACCAGUCAUGAUCACUCUUCAGCACACAUUCUACAUUCCAAUAGGUUAUCUCAUGUGCAAGGUAAAUGUUGGGUCCAAUUCACACACAAACCGUGGAUUGGACUUCAUUUCCAAGAGUCAAAGUUUCCUGGGCGCCCCAGGCUUUGAAAAAACAGUAAUUGGCCAGCAGAGAGAGUCUGCAUCUCCCUGAGUGAUUGAGGGCAUUUGUUGCUAUGAACUUGAAGGCUUCCCUCAAAAGAUCAUGGUUCCAGGUUACGAGAGCCUGUAACAUAUCGAGCAGGAUCCAAUUCACAUCCCCACAACACAUCUGUCACUGCCGCAACAGAGAGAACGAGGACAGAGUGGUUCCAAUUGUGCCGUAUAACAGCUUAAUCAACGCCCAUCAACUACUGCUAGAGUUUCCCGAAGGCCUUGAGACUUACUGCUUGAAGGACUCUCAAUGAAAACCACCCCUGUAACAGCUGUCAUAUUUAAAAUA